AAAUAGGAUUAAAUUACAUACGUAACCCUUUUUCCCUUCUAGAGUUAAAUUCGUCAUUUCCUUCGCCAAUAAAUAAAGGCGGAUCCUCUUUUGGCUCUUUUUUUCCAUUCAUUUUGUUGUCCUUAAUUUAUCGAACUCGCAGAGCAGCUCGAGAAAGGGCGCAGCGCUUUCCCUUUUCUCCUUCGAUUUUAAUCGAAAUUGAAUUCACCCUUUUCGUUACUUGUUGUCUCUCUCUCUUCCUCUCUCCCACAGACAGUGUAGUGACAUGGCGGAUGCUUACUGGAGGUACACCAGCGGUGGGCAGCAGGCGGCGGCUCUUCCUCCUCAACUCGUCGCAAAACGUCCUCGCACCGAAUAUGAUGUUCCAAGUGGUCCUGAGUUUCCUGGCUAUUAUGGCCGUGAUGAUGAAAGGGGAAUGCCUCGUGUCAUUAGAGACACAGAUCCUAUAGAAGCAUCCUAUGAGCGCUACCUCCGUAGUGGGCAAAUUUCCUCCCAUGUUGCCAGUGAGUCUGCAAGAUCCAUAAAUAGUGGAAUUAGUGGCCAUCCUAUUGAAGAUCCACGUGUUAUGGGGAUCGGGGGACCCGACCCGCUGGCUUUAAAAAGCAGGAAUGUUGGAAUGGUAGGUGGCAGACCAGAAAUUUCCCUUCCUCCGGAUGCUAGCAGUACAUUGUUUGUAGAGGGUUUGCCUGCGGAUUGUACAAGAAGAGAGGUGUCACAUAUAUUUCGCCCUUUUGUAGGUUACAAAGAAGUAAGGCUGGUACCAAAAGGAUCGCGGCAUCACGGAGGUGAUCCUUUGAUUCUUUGCUUUGUUGAUUUCGUGACUCCACUUCAUGCAGCUGCUGCAAUGGAUGCCUUGCAAGAAGGGAGCUACUGAAUCCUAUCCAUGGCAGUGUUACAAGAAGAUUUCGCUGAUCUGUUUAUGCGACUCACAUAUCGGCUGCUGAACUGCAGGUGUUUAUAGCUUUUGGCUGGAUAAUAUUUUUCCUCAAGAGAGAUGUCGUGGCCUGACAGUUUAAUCGUUAUCCAGGUAGCAGCAUGCAUGAUUAUAUGAGACUUCACUAGAAUUUUCCUUAGGGGUCAUGUAUGUAAAAGAGAAGGGAGGGCGGCCUAAUGCGGACACAUGAGUUGUUCCUCAUAGCCAUUAAUUACAGCUUUGCUUAUUGGGAGAAAUUCAAAAAUAACCUGAUUUACGAGUGUCAUUCAAAAAUGUCACAGUUUUAAAAAUAAUUAAAUUUUAUCCACUUUUCAUGUAAAGAAAAAUCUGAACGAAAACACUGUUCAAAAUCCGGAAAGAUACUCCUGUAUAAUAUACUUAUGGUGGAACUCUAGUAUAAUAUACCGGUGCAGCAUAAUAUACUGGAAUUUUUCGCAUGUUGGAGUUUCAGCAUAAUAUGCUGGAAGUUCAUACACAGGUGCACCUAUCUCCAGUAUAUUAUGCUGAAACUUUCCGUGUUGCACCAAAAUAGUGGCUAUUCUCCAAUGAUUUUGCAAACACUGGUUAUUUUUGGAUCACCAGUCCGAAAACUGGCUAGCCCGUGCUAUUUUUACUUGCUUAUUUUAUCCUGGUUAAGCAAUUUUGGUUACAAUUGCAUUGUACCCUGUGGCUGGUCCAUCUAUUGCCACUGCCAAUGUAGUAGCUGAUUCCAUACUUGUAAUUUAUGUGUUCAUCCUUGUAAUGAACAACUUUACAAUGCCCAAACCUUUUUUCUUCUUGCGUCUC